rnacentral:rRNA from 1 species
AGAACGCUGGCAGCGUGCAUAACACAUGCAAGUCGAACGAUGAAGCAUUCUUCGGAAUGUGGAAGAGUGGCGAACGGGUGAGGAACACGUAAGAAUCUGCCCCUCAGUCGGGGACAACCCUUGGAAACGAGGGCUAAUACCCGAUACGCUGUGGAGUGAAAGAAUUUCGCUGAGGGAUGAUCUUGCGUCUGAUUAGCUAGUUGGUGUGGUAAUGGCACACCAAGGCGACGAUCAGUAGCUGGUCUGAGAGGAUGAACAGCCACAUUGGAACUGAGACACGGUCCAAACUCCUACGGGAGGCAGCAGUGGGGAAUUUUUCGCAAUGGACGAAAGUCUGACGGAGCGACGCUGCGUGAAGGAUGACGGCCUGCGGGUUGUAAACUUCUUUUCUCGAAGAAGAAGCUCUGACGGUAUUCGAGGAAUAAGCAUCGGCUAACUCCGUGCCAGCAGCCGCGGUAAGACGGAGGAUGCAAGUGUUAUUCGGAAUGAUUGGGCGUAAAGAGUCUGUAGGCUGUAUGGAAAGUCUUUUGUUAAAUGCCUCGGCUCAACCGAGAUCCAGCAAAGGAAACUUCUAUACUUGA